UACGUAGGCAGCAAGCGUUGUUCGGAGUUACUGGGCGUAAAGGGUGCGUAGGUGGCUCUAUAAGUAUGGUGUGAAAUCUCCCGGCUUAACUGGGAGGGUGCGCCGUAGACUGUGGGCUAGAGUGUGGGAGAGGAAAGUGGAAUUCCUGGUGUAGCGGUGAAAUGCGUAGAUAUCAGGAGGAACACCGGUGGUGUAAACGGCUUCUGGACCAUAACUGACACUGAGGCACGAAAGCGUGGGUAGCAAACAGG
rnacentral:rRNA from 1 species